GGAGAGGUGGCAGAGUCUGGUUGAAUGCACUGCACUCGAAAUGCAGCGUGCGCUAUGCGUACCGGGGGUUCGAAUCCCUCCCUCUCCG
rnacentral:tRNA from 1 species